rnacentral:rRNA from 1 species
UGGGGAAUUUUGCGCAAUGGACGAAAGUCUGACGCAGCAACGCCGCGUGGGUGAUGAAGGUCUUCGGAUCGUAAAACCCUGUCGUCAGGGACGAAGGGUUGGGGCCUAAUACGCCUUGACCUUGACGGUACCUGGAGAGGAAGCCCCGGCUAACUCUGUGCCAGCAGCCGCGGUAAUACAGAGGGGGCAAGCGUUAUUCGGAAUUAUUGGGCGUAAAGGGCGCGUAGGCGGUUCUUUAAGUCGGAUGUGCAAUCCCCGAGCUCAACUUGGGAACUGCAGCCGAGACUGGAGAGCUAGAGUGCUGGAGAGGGUGGUGGAAUUCCACGUGUAGCGGUGAAAUGCGUAGAGAUGUGGAGGAACACCAGUGGCGAAGGCGGCCACCUGGACAGUAACUGACGCUGAGGCGCGAAAGUGUGGGGAGCAAACA